AGCAGCCGCGGUAAUUCCAGCUCCAAUAGCGUAUAUUAAAGUUGUUGCAGUUAAAAAGCUCGUAGUUGAAUUUCGGGAUUAAUAUGUUGGUCGUGCCUUGGUACGUACUGGCAUUAUUGAUUCCUACCUUCUGAAGAACCUCGAUGUCAUUAAUUUGGUGUCUUGGGGAAUCAGGACCGUUACUUUGAAAAAAUUAGAGUGUUUAAAGCAGGCUCGCGCUUGAAUACAUUAGCAUGGAAUAAUGAAAUAGGACGUUUGAUUCUAUUUUGUUGGUUUCUAGGAUCGACGUAAUGAUUAAUAGGGAUAGUUGGGGGCAUUAGUAUUCAAUUGUCAGAGGUGAAAUUCUUGGAUUUAUUGAAGACUGACUACUGCGAAAGCAUUCGCCAAGGAUGUUUUCAUUAAUCAAGAACGAAAGUUAGGGGAUCGAAGACGAUCAGAUACCGCCGUAGUCUUAACCAUAAACUAUGCCGACUAGGGAUCGGAUGAUGUUAAUUUUUUAAUGACUCAUUCGGCGCCUUAC
rnacentral:misc_RNA from 1 species